UGGCGAUGAUUAAAACGGAUUUAUCCGCGCUUCUGAGAGAAAUCAAUGAAGCAUAAACAAAAAAUUGGUUGAAUUUCUUGAUAUGAGCCU
rfam:Capsicum annuum cultivar Zunla-1 chromosome 7, whole genome shotgun sequence